UAGGGAAUCUUCGGCAAUGGACGAAAGUCUGACCGAGCAACGCCGCGUGAGUGAAGAAGGUUUUCGGAUCGUAAAACUCUGUUGUUAGAGAAGAACAAGGACGUUAGUAACUGAACGUCCCCUGACGGUAUCUAACCAGAAAGCCACGGCUAACUACGUGCCAGCAGCCGCGGUAAUACGUAGGUGGCAAGCGUUGUCCGGAUUUAUUGGGCGUAAAGCGAGCGCAGGCGGUUUCUUAAGUCUGAUGUGAAAGCCCCCGGCUCAACCGGGGAGGGUCAUUGGAAACUGGGGGACUUGAGUGCAGAAGAGGAGAGUGGAAUUCCAUGUGUAGCGGUGAAGUGCGUAGAUAUAUGGAGGAACACCAGUGGCGAAGGCGGCUCUCUGGUCUGUAACUGACGCUGAGGCUCGAAAGCGUGGGGAGCAAACAGG
rnacentral:rRNA from 1 species